UAGGGAAUCUUCGGCAAUGGACGAAAGUCUGACCGAGCAACGCCGCGUGAGUGAAGAAGGUUUUCGGAUCGUAAAACUCUGUUGUUAGAGAAGAACAAGGACGUUAGUAACUGAACGUCCCCUGACGGUAUCUAACCAGAAAGCCACGGCUAACUACGUGCCAGCAGCCGCGGUAAUACGUAGGUGGCAAGCGUUGUCCGGAUUUAUUGGGCGUAAAGCGAGCGCAGGCGGUUUCUUAAGUCUGAUGUGAAAGCCCGCGGCUCAACCGGGGAGGGUAAUUGGAAACUGGGAGACUGGAGUGAAGAAGAGGAGAGUGGAAUUCCAUGUGUAGCGGUGAAAUGCGUAGAUAUAUGGAGGAAAACCAGUGGCGAAGGCGGCUCUCUGGUCUGUAACUGACGCUGAGGCUGGAAAGAGUGGGGAGCAAACGGG
rnacentral:rRNA from 1 species